AGAAAACCAUAGGAGAGGGGCUGUCCAUAUUUGCUGCAUGAAAGAUUAUGGUGUUGGCCAUGACCCUGGAACUGCUAUGCAAGCAACCAGCUUCGUAAUUUCUACUUGGUUAGAUGUUACCAGGGAAGAUUCUACCUAAAAUGCGAACAUAUCAGUUUGCGCAUAAGAGGAUCGUAUAAUCAGAACUGUGGUUUUCCCAGUGGUCAUGCACGGAUAUGAGAGUUGGACCAUAAAGAAGGCUGAGCACCAGAGAAUUGAUGCUUUUGAACUGUGGUGUUGGAGAAGACUCUUGAGAGUCCCUUUGACUGGAAGGAGAUCCAACCAGUCCAUCCUAAAGGAAAUCAACCCUGAGUAUUCAUUGGAAGGACUGAUGCUGAAGCUGAAGCUCCAAUACUUUGGCCACCUGAUGGGAAGAACUGACUCAUUAGGAAAGACCCUGAUGCUGGGAAAGAUUGAAGGUGGGAGGAGAAAAGAACCACAGAGGAUGAGAUGGCUGGAUGGCAUCACCAACUCCAUGGACAUGAGUUUGUGCAAGCUCCAGGAGAUGCUGAAGGACAGGGAAGCCUGGCGUGCUGCAGUCCAUGGAGCUGCAGAGUCUGACACAACUAACUGACUGAACAACAACAGUGAUGUCUACUAAAUCUUCAAGGAACAUGGAAUUUCCAGCUUGUACAAACUGUUUCAGAGCAUAAGAAAAUAUGGAAAGCCACUAAAUUUAUUUUAUGACUCACACAAAACACUGGAACCAAAUAUGAUACUAUGAAUCGCGGUAGCAAAUUACAGCAAACUAUAGGACACUCUCAUUAUGUACAAAACUUGAUAGUUUGUCUAGAGCCUUACAUAACCCAUUGUAAAGUAUACAAAAAGAUGUCAUUUUUCAUAGGCAG
ensembl:lncRNA